rnacentral:rRNA from 1 species
UACGGGGGGGGCAAGCGUUGUUCGGAAUUACUGGGCGUAAAGGGCUCGUAGGCGGCCAACUAAGUCAGACGUGAAAUCCCUCGGCUUAACCGGGGAACUGCGUCUGAUACUGGAUGGCUCGAGUUUGGGAGAGGGAUGCGGAAUUCCAGGUGUAGCGGUGAAAUGCGUAGAUAUCUGGAGGAACACCGGUGGCGAAGGCGGCAUCCUGGACCAACACUGACGCUGAUGAGCGAAAGCCAGGGGAGCAAAACGGG